rnacentral:tRNA from 1 species
AACAAGAUGGCUGAUAUAGGCAAUAAAUUGUAAAUUUAUUUAUGAAUAAAAAUUCUCUUGUUAA